CCUACGGGUGGCUGCAGUGGGGAAUAUUGCACAAUGGAGGCAACCCUGACCCAGCCACGCCGCGUGAAUGAUGAAGGUCUUCGGAUUGUAAAGUUCUUUGGUGGGCGAUGAACACAAUUACGGUACCCCAAUAGCAAGCCACGGCUAACUACGUGCCAGCAGCCGCGGUAAUCAGUAGGGGCCAAGCGUUAUCCGGAAUGACUGGGCGGAAGGGGCGCGUAGGUGGUUUAGUAAGUUGGCGGUGUAAUUCCGGGGCUCAACCUGGGCGCUACCGCCAAAACUCGUAGACUAGAGUGCAGGAGGGGGAAGUGGAAUUCCUAGUGUAGCGGUGGAAUGCGUAGAGAUUAGGAGGAACAUCAGGGGCGAAGGCGACCUACUGGAAUGUAACUGACACUGAGGCACGAAAGCGUGGGGAGCAAACAGGAUUAGAUACCCUAGUAGUC
rnacentral:rRNA from 1 species